CCCUGCCCCGCGGGGAGGCGGUUGAGGCCCGGCGAGAAUUCGAGCGCUGCGCGGGCGGGCCAGCAGAGUUGGGGGACCCUGCGCACCCUCCGCAGCUGCUGGCCCGGGUGCUAAGCCCCUCACUGCCCAGGCAGGCGGGGCGCCAGCUGGCCGCUCUGAGUGCGGCGCCCGCCGAGCCUACGCCCACCCGGAACUCGCGCUGGCUCGCGAGCGCCGCGCGCUGCCCGGGUUCCCAUCCGCGCCUCUCCCUCCACACCUCCCAGCAAGCAGAGGGAGCCGGCUCUGGCCUCCGCCAGCCCAGAGAGGCUUCCACAGUGCAGCGGCGGGCUGAAGGGCUCCUCAAGCGCGGCCAGAGUGGACGCCGAGGCCGAGGAGGCGCGGAGAGCGAGCGAGGGCUGCUAGCCCAUGCAAUGGACUCCAUGAAGGUUCCUGCUUGAUUUGUGAAACAGCCCAGGAAUAAGGGACAUUCUCCUGGAUCAUUCUGCUUCGUGAGAGGAUGAGGGCUCAGGAAACCAUUGCACUGCUGUAUCCACUCACAUCAGUGUGAUUGAUUUUCUAGUGACACAGAAGAAUAUGUACUUUACAACUCCAUCCCUCACCUUGGAACUCAAAAUUUACAUGUUGAACAGUAAGUCCCCAAGGUCUUCAUCAUUCAAGCUUUCCUCCUCAACGAUUCUAUUUCUCCAUAAGAGCAGCAAAUUCAGGACAAACACAGUCCUCCUGGAGGCCAGUGCCAUAAUUAAUAAGAAUUAACACAACUUGGAGAGUAGGCUAUUCACUUCCUCUGAAAUGUGCGAACAUAAUUUAAUCUUCUCAGUAAUUUGUGAGAUAGUGUAUUAUUUUCCUGCACUUUUCAGAUGGAGUAUCUAAGACACAGAGUUUCAAUACGUAGGUGAAGUUCACAUCACCAGUAGCAGACUGAACUGGGAUCCAAAGCCAAGCAAUGUCAUCAUCUGUCCUUCAAUGCAUGGUGCUCUGCCACCUCACUGAGAGACUGAGGAUUCCUUUAAAAUAAACUCUAAUGGACACAUCACAUAUACCAUCAUUCCUUCCCUUCUCUGCUGUUUCUCUCAGCUUCUCCCAGUCUUUCUGAAGCUUUCCCCCUACCAUCAGUGAAAUCUCUACCUUGUCAGGUUAUUUGCUUGAUUUCUGCAAAACUCCAUUUUCUCAAAAAGAAACUCACUGGAGCAAAACUUAAAUUCUAAAUGUCACAGCUGUCAAUUAGCAGUGUGACCUUUACUAAGUCAUUCUCCUUCUAUGGGUCUCAGUUUUGCUUUUUUACAGCCUCUAAGAUUGGCUAUAGCCCA
rnacentral:lncRNA from 1 species